GGCGCGAUGGCCGAGCGGUCUAAGGCGCUAGAAUCAGGCUGUUGUCCUAUCUAGUCUUCACGGGCGGGGGUUCGAAUCCCCCUCGCGUCA
rnacentral:tRNA from 2 species